UUUAUUAAUUAUUUCAUAUUAAUUGUUUCACACAACACAUUUAUCUCUCAGCCGUGACAUUCUAAAGUGUUAAAACUUUCUUACAAAACUUUUUACUAUUAACAUUUAUUUUUAAUGGUAUCAAAAUAAGACAUCAUAAAUCACAACAAAUCAUAAAUCAUAAAUGAUAUAUCUAAAAAAUUUAGUAGAUUUUAAGAAAAUACAAUUUUCUAGUGGAACAUGAUAAAGAGCGAAAGGAAGUGUUAUAAUAUUUGAUGUUGUAGUGCAUCAUUUCUGCAUUUAAAUUAUCUGUUUUUGAAUCUCUGUUUAUAGUUUAUAUGAUUCAUGAAUAACUAGUCAAAUCCAUAGAUACACCAUCGAAACGAUCUGGAUAUGUAUUAAUGCAAAAUGACAGAUAAUCAGGUACAGUGUACGGAAUAUGCAUCGAUCGUUAUUGUCAUCAAGUCAUUGGCUGUAUCAUAACACUAAUGUUCCAAACAGACUGUAGAUUGCGGAUGAAUACUUAAUUUGUACCGUUAUUAGAUUUCAAUCGGGGGACAAGAGUUUAUUCUUUCCUCAACAAAUAUUGAAAGUAGUUAAUUACGUAUACGCAUAGGUAUUGUUCAUUAUUUUUUUCUGUUUGAUUUCGAACGUUCUGUUAACUUUGAAAGAACACCAUACUCCAAAAAUGUUACCGGAACAGUCUGAUGAAUAGCAAUUUAACGGUUUGUUUAUAAAUUAAAAGCGCUCUAAUGUGGUUCAUGAAAAUUAACAAUUCAGUUAUAAUAAACACUGCCUCUGCGAUUAAAUAUCUAUUUUUUAAGCUUCCAUUAACUAGAUGGUUAACUUAAAUUUUUUCGAUUAUUCGAUCAUUCGAUUGCCAAUUUCUAUGAUGUUUCUAUCAUAUUGUACUGGUUUAGUUAAACUGAUAAUAAUUCUAAUAGAAAUAAAAUAUAAGUUGACAAAAAUAUGUAGAAUACAUGGGUUGGAGAUUUUUGAGAAAAGUAAAAAAAGGUCAAAGUUUUAAUAUUUGUUGCAGGCAUAAGGCGAUGGCCUGAAUAGAUCUUGUAAAUUUGUCACAAUGGUUACGUAAUGGGAGCCGACGAAUAUUUUUGAAUUGGCAACUCCCUCAAAGACCUAGUUACUUUUUACAUUGCCUAAAUCUGUUAAUAAAAAUUUCAUUUGUUUUACUAAUAAAUUUAUGACUAUCAUACAAAAGUAUUUAUCGAUACAACCUCCAGCUUGUAACUUGGAAAAUAUUAGUUCAAUUAUGUAAAAAGACGCAUAUGACGUGUUACUCCUAUAGGAAAAUGAAUACAGAGUUACGCGCACCAUGAAAAUAAACUAAUUUCAUAAGACAAACAUAAAUGGCUGGUAAUAUUUCAUAAGCCGAAGAGUUGACAGGAUCUUCUGGCCCUUUGAAUUUGAUCAGAACAUAAAUCUCAAGGUAUUGGUUGACCGAAGAAGCACCGCUCGAAAUCUGUUCGAUAAGGAGCAAAAAGGAAACGAAUGGAUGGAUAAAAUAACGAAUUAUGCAAAUGAAUUCGAAUUCCAUUAAGAAAGUUAAAUCUAUUCUUCAAACUUUUAGAUGUACUCUUCAUAAACUUUUUCGAAGGGUCUUGCUGCGAACACGUUGAAUGGUAACCAUGGAAAAUUGGGUAAACCCGGCCGCCGGAAUAUUGCACGUUGUCAUCAAAGGAUUAAUUGAAAAUGGAGAUGACAUUGUCGCCGCUUGAAAAUUACUGGGAAUGUGGAUUAUCGGAGCGCCAGGUAUAAACGUAUCUCUAUUUAUAACGUCACUUCCAAUUGGGAUAUUUGAAUUGACGGCAUUAUGAUUGCAACAAACCCAAAGGAUAAUCGCAAUACCGUUUUACAUUUGCAACGGUAAAUGAACAGCAGUAAAGUAACUAUGUCAGGAUAUACCACUGUAUGAAUAAAUGAAAGGUGCAAGCUCUUGAUUAGAGGUAAGAGGUUUAAAUCUGAACUAAAACUAUGAAUUCAACUGCUCCUUUAAAGUACUUGUGUGGUUGGAACUACAUUAGCUUAUUGUUAGUAAUAAUACUAAUUUUAUUAUAUAUGAAUGCAUUGAUACGCAAAAUGUAAUUUCGCGUUUACAAGAGCUUACCAUGUACUGUAUGUAUACAUGCGAAAUAAUUGAAGGAUUCGAAAUUAAUUUACAACACUGGAGAUUGUAUAUUUAGUACAAUGAUGUAGUAAUUAUAAUGGCUACUAAUAAUAUAUAGAUGCGUUAUAGAUAAUUUCGAAUUAUUAGUUAUUGCAUAUGAUAGAAUUAGCGAUUAUAGACUGUUAUCUAAAGUAUAAACUAUUUAAGUACCCUGUAAUGAUUUGUGUAAAUGUGCUUUUAUUGCUAAUUGUUUAGUAUUGUUUAUAAUAUGAAUACACGUAUUGAAAUUAUGUAAAAAUUUACCGUACUUUGGAUGUAAACUGAAAUUGUUAUGAGAGAAGAUUUUUGCACGUCACGAAAUAUUUCUUUAUUUUUAAACAAAUAUAAUAUAUAAUGUGUACAAAGUGAAAUGCAUAUGUCA
rnacentral:lncRNA from 1 species